CUUAACAUUCACACGUCCUCAUCAGUGCACAACAGAUCAAAUUAUAUCCUCAAAACCAGAGAAAAAUGAAAUUUGUUGUCAUGAUCCCUUUAAGAUAUGUUGUUACUACAGAGACACUGUUUUAAUGAAGAUUGAAAUAGCUACCACUCACAAUUUAAAUAAAACAUCUUAAGCAGCUGUAAAUCGGCAAGAAAGAAGCAGACGAAGACCAAAUAAGAUGACCCUGACUGGAGACCAGAUGAGGGGGAGACCAAGACUACAGGAAGUGGGCAGGCUCUGGUGCUACACACAUCCCACAUCACACCUUCAGGGCUUAGAUAAUUCCAAAGAAAUGCUAUAUAACAUAGUAGAAGAGAUCAGUCACAAUCUUCUUUGCUUGAGGGCCAAGCUAUUGGUGGAAGCGAGGAAAAUCCAUGUAAUGAUACAGCCUGAAUUCAAGAUUGAAAACACAUUUGUUUAGUGUCAGGGUUCUCUGUUUGGUCGGUGUUCUAACUCUGCUCCACAGGUGGUUCUAGUUGGCUGGGGGGCGUGGCCCACACCUGCGGCUCGUUUGGAGCAGUGUUCACUGGCGUCUUAAGGAAGGCUCAGACCGAUGGAAGACGCCAGAGCCUUACCCAGUCGUGGUACGACGUGGCCUCUGACCAGAUCUUGGAAAUCUGAACUUUGCAUUUCCACCAACAGACGUGCAGCGCUGCAGAUUCUACGUGGAUAUUAGACUGGAAAAGGGAAGCCCCGGGUAAUAAGCCUGUAUACAGAGCUAACCUCACUGCAAAAACUGCCGAGUGAGAGUGUUACGGAAUAUGUCAUCAGAGCUGAAACUACAAUCACUGCUUUAAGGAAUGCAGGUGAGAAUCUGAGUGACAAACUUUUGAUUGCAAUGAUUUUGAAAGGACUUUCAGAAACAUUUAAGCCAUUUACUAUUACUCAGAGUGAUGUUAAAAUGACUUUUGCCGAAUUUAAAACAAGACUUCGAAGUUAUGAGGAUAUUGAAAAUAUGCGGACAACUACUUCUGGGGAUAACGUAAUGAAGGCAAGAGCACAGCUGGGAAGGGGAACCAAAGUUACUUUGGAUGAUUGUGCAGCUGCAAGUAGUCAUUAUUUGUUACAGGUGGGGCACAAAAUGCCAUAAAGCAAGCAUGUGCAGACGUAAAGAAUGGUGCAGUCAAUGUAAAAGUGCUACACACUGUGAUGCAACCUGCAGGAGAAGAAAACCAAGGGAUAGAGCAAGAAAAGUGUCAGAGGAGCCGGAUGAUAAGGAAUAUGUUUUUCGGGCAAGUGAUGCUGAGAUGAGGAGACAUAAGGAUGAAAGAAAAGGCCUAAUGGUGGAUGCAGGUGCAACUUCACACAUCACCACAGACAUCAAAAAGUUUUGAUGGUUUGACAGCAGUUUCCAAGCCGACACAAACUGUGUGGAAUUGGCUGACGGUACGAGGUGCAACGGAGUAGCUAAAAGCUACUGGACGACGUUUCAAAGUAAUGCUAAGGAACGCGGUGUACAUCCCUACAUAUCCACAGGACAUCUUCUCUGUGAAGGCAGCUUACUGUUGCACUGUCGACUUGUGAAGCAGAGUUUAUAGCUUUAGCUUCAACUGUACAGGAAUGUUUAUUUCUAUACCAAUUGUUAGAAAACAUUGAUGGUCAGAAAUAUGAAUCGAGAGUGUUUGUGGACAAUCAGCAUGCCAUUGCUUUAGCAAAAGAUCCUGUGUAUAGACAACAUGUAAACAUGUGGACAUUAAAUUAAAUUUUGUGAGAUCGGUAAUAAAAGAGGGCAGACUUAAUCUGGAAUACUGUCGAACUGAUUAUAUGGUUGCGAAUGUGUUAACAAAACCAGCAACAAAGUUCAAGUUAAUGAAAUUUAACUCAUUUAUGUUUGGUGUAUGAAUUUUGUAUUGAAAUGAUGAAAUUGAGAUUUAUAAAUAUUGCGCUCUCAUUUAUAUUUGAUUUGUUUGUUUUUAUUUUUUAGUUUGGAAUCAAGCAAUCAUAUUGCAGAGUGUAUGUCAUGUGACUGAGUGUAAUUAGUAACUGAAUGAAUGCACAUGUGUCUGUUUAAAUAAAAUGUGCCAGUCCAAAAGAAACUGGUGAAUGUGAAACAGUA